UGUUCACACUUGCUCGUGUCGGAUAUCAUGCUCGAGUUUACAUCAAAGGUCAGCUAUUGUUUGAGUACACACAACCAGAUAUUCCUUGUGAGGAUGUUAAAGCCUGUUACAUCAUCAAAGGAGAAACACUGCAUGAAACCUGUCCAUUAUAUUUUAAAAGAAAGACUUUUUUUGCUCCUCAGGGAGAAUAUCAGAUUUACGUGGAUGUGAACAUUGUUGAUGAUGUUGAAAGAAGGCUGACAUUACGUUUCAACAUUACUGUACAAAUAGAAAGGACUGGUAGUUAGAAUGCAAUUUUUCAAGGAGGAUUGUAGAACAAGAAAAUCCCAUUUACAACAUGAUAAAAAAAAAAAAAUGUCUUGAGCAACAAAUCAGCAUAUCAGAAUUAUUUCUGAAGGAUCAUGUGACACUGAAGACUGGAGUAAUGAUGCUGAAAAUUCAGCUUUGAUCACAGG